CCUACGGGAGGCAGCAGUGGGGAAUAUUGCACAAUGGGCGAAAGCCUGAUGCAGCAACGCCGCGUGAGGGAAGAAGGUCUUCGGAUUGUAAACCUUUGUCCUAAGUGAAGAAACAAAUGACGGUAGCUUAGGAGGAAGCCACGGCUAACUCCGUGCCAGCAGCCGCGGUAAUA
rnacentral:rRNA from 1 species